rnacentral:tRNA from 1 species
ACAUUGUUGACUCAGGGGUAGAAUUCUUGUCUUCCACGCGGGAGACCUGGGUUUGAUUCCCAGCCAAUGCA